UGUGUUGCAAUGAACUGCUUACUGGUGUUGUCCCAUAUACUGAUCUUUGUGCAGAAGCGCAGGCCCACACUGUGCUGGAAAUGAACUAUACUGAACAGCAACUUACAGCAGCCGUGGUGUCUGAAGGAUUGCGACCUGCUCUUGCUGGUCACUGCUCGUCUGCACCAACAGGUUUCCCGUCCUUGAUACAGAGAUGUUGGGA